rnacentral:tRNA from 1 species
AGAAAAUUAGUUAAAUUAUAACAUUAACUUGUCAUGUUAAAAUUAUUUCAAUAAUAUUUUCUU